AACAAAGAUGGACCUCUCUGGGGAGGAGCUGGAGGGUCUGUAACCAGGUGCUACAACCUUGUUGAUGUAGCGGACAGUACAACCAGCCAGCUAUGGUCAACUGUCCUGCAAAUGCAUUCCACUGGUGACCCAGGGACUACGGGAGAGUUUGUGGAGGCAUCAGCCUCCCUGGUAGCUAUGAUUACAGAUUCUUGAGCAGAAGAAUUUACUGGUCAGACCUGUGGUUUAUGAAUAUUAUUUUGACAGCUUUGUGUAGCAUGGAUUGAAAGGGAAAGAGGCUACAGAACAGGUAUUCAGUUAAAGGAAUGUAACCCGUGUCCCCAGGCCCAUUGGUAGCAGAUUCUCUCCUUAUUGGCAGUCAAUGAAUGUCCUGCCCUGCUCGAGGGACAGGCCUGAGUUGGUAAGGGCAGGAGAGCUCCAGCUUUCUUCAGGCUUUUUCAAGCUUUGUUGCUUUGGGUGCUUCUGGUUUCUGGCUUCAAGAGGGAAGAUGGAAGAGGCCAAACUCUCCUUAAGUGGCUGAAGAAAAAGACUUUGGAAAGACAGGAGAGGAGCCUGCAACGUCUAUCAUGUUCCUGUCCCUAGCUUGCUACACUACAGACUUGGAGUGUCUCACCUUGGGUGAGAUCAAGGACACUUU